UGCAUUAUUUUUAUGAUUCCUUUUUCUAGGCUGCUAGUUGCUGAGUUGAAAUGGAUCACAUGCUUAUUUAAAUAAAAAAGGAACAGAGCGUCUAAACUCCAUGUAAAAGAGAACUCAGCACUCUAAUCGCAGAAGUUCCAGCUGCUAUGCAACACUGAAUCAUGCACUAUCUGGAUUUUCUUGUUGUCUUUUAAGUAAUUGCUGUAUGCCAUGACCCAUGAUCUUUGUUUCCCUGGAACUGCAGAAUUUGCUGUUACAACUCCCUCCUGGAAGAACAAGAAAGAGCAGAAAACUUUUCAUCAGGCUUCAGAUCAGGCAGCAGAUGGCAACUUUGGUUAUCCUCUGAUCGGGCUGCCUUGAAUUAGAGAUGAGCCCCAUCCCCUUCCAAGCAAGCACAAUGCAAGGCUGAGCUGGGAGUUGGAUCAUGUCUAAACAUUGUGUCUGGAUUCAGAGCUCACCAGAGUUUUGCUGUACUUGAUCCAAGAGCUUGGCUGGAGCCAAGUUCUAAUUAAGGCUGGUAACUUGUCAGAGACAAGCUCUGUGUGCUGCCAGCAGCAUCUCUGUGUUACCUAUCUCCUGUACUGAGAUUUUAGGCCAGAUAAACUGUCUCCAGGUUACAAGUAGUCCCUAUGGACUGCCUGUAGCUUAUAGUUUUGACACCUGAAAUAAAAAGGAAAAAAAAAAAAAAAGCUGUUUGGCUUGGUAGUACUUUACUUACCUCCUUAUAACCAACUGGAUGUAGGGCAUGAUUUUUAUUAACACUCUCCUGAUAAGUUAAUGUAAGAUAACCUUUGAAGCAAUCGGUGUCAUUUACAUAGGUGUUUGCAAAUCAGAUGCAGCUUGUUUGUUCCCAUGGCACUGCACAGAGAAAAAGGAACACCAUCUUGACAGUGGACCUGCUGGUGCCGAGAGGACAAAACUGCAGCACCCCUGGAAUGAAUUAACUUACACUCUGCUUCAGCUUGUACCACCAGAGCUUAUAGUCCAAGCGGGAACAUGCAAGCCCUCUUUCAUUCAGGUAAGGAAAGUUCAUUUCUUGUACAAUUACAGAGCCUUGGUUCUUCUGUGCCAUAUAAUCACAGACAUCUCUUACUACCAUGACCAUGAAGUGAUCUUGCAUCCACUUCUAAAGGAUUCCAGACUCUUGCAGCCUG
rnacentral:lncRNA from 1 species